rnacentral:tRNA from 1 species
GGGGCUAUAGCAUAGUGGCAGUGUAGGGCAUUCGCAUUGCUCGGGCGACGGUUCGAUUCCGUCUAGCUCCACCA